GACGAACGCUGGCGGCGUGCUUAACACAUGCAAGUCGAACGGAAAGGCCCUGCUUUUGUGGGGUGCUCGAGUGGCGAACGGGUGAGUAACACGUGAGUAACCUGCCCUUGACUUUGGGAUAACUUCAGGAAACUGGGGCUAAUACCGGAUAGGAGCUCCUGCUGCAUGGUGGGGGUUGGAAAGUUUCGGCGGUUGGGGAUGGACUCGCGGCUUAUCAGCUUGUUGGUGGGGUAGUGGCUUACCAAGGCUUUGACGGGUAGCCGGCCUGAGAGGGUGACCGGCCACAAUAGGACUGAGAUACGGCCCAGACUCCUACAGGAGGCAGCGGUGGGGAAUAUUGCACAAUGGGCGGAAGCCUGAUGCAGCAGCGCCGCGUGCGGGAUGACGGCCUUCGGGUUGUAAACCGCUUUCGCCUGUGACGAAGCGGGAGUGACGGUAAUGGGUAAAGAAGCACCGGCUAACUACGUG
rnacentral:rRNA from 1 species